CGGGACGGGGUGGAGUAAUGUCUGGGAAACUGCCUGAUGGAGGGGGGUAACUACUGGAAACGGUAGCUAAUACCGCAUAACGUCGCAAGACCAAGGAGGGGGACCUUCGGGCCUCUUGCCAUCGGAUGUGCCCAGAUGGGAUUAGCUAGUAGGUGGGGUAACGGCUCACCUAGGCGACGAUCCCUAGCUGGUCUGAGAGGAUGACCAGCCACACUGGAACUGAGACACGGUCCAG
rnacentral:rRNA from 1 species